GAUGAACGCUAGCGGCAGGCUUAACACAUGCAAGUCGAGGGGCAGCACGGGUAGCAAUACCUGGUGGCGACCGGCGCAAGGGUGCGUAACGCGUGAGCAACAUGCCCUAUACAGGGGGAUAAUCCAGGGAAACUUGGUCUAAUAUCCCAUAGUAUUUAGAGGAGGCAUCGUUCUAUAAAUUAAAGCUUCGGUGGUAUAGGAUUGGCUCGCGUGACAUUAGCUAGAUGGUGAGGUAACGGCUCACCAUGGCAAUGAUGUCUAGGGGUUCUGAGAGGAAGGCCCCCCACACUGGGACUGAGACACGGCCCAGACUCCUACGGGAGGCAGCAGUGAGGAAUAUUGGACAAUGGAUGGAAAUCUGAUCCAGCCAUGCCGCGUGCAAGGAAGACAGCCCUAUGGGUUGUAAACUGACUUUUAUAUGGGAGCAAUAAGGUCUAACGUGUAGACUGAUGAGAGUACCAUAUGAAU
rnacentral:rRNA from 1 species